rnacentral:rRNA from 1 species
UACGGGGGGGGCAAGCGUUGUUCGGAAUUACUGGGCGUAAAGGGCUUGUAGGUGGCCAACUAAGUCAGACGUGAAAUCCCUCGGCUUAACCGGGGAACUGCGUCUGAUACUGGAUGGCUUGAGUGUGGGAGAGGGAUGCGGAAUUCCAGGUGUAGCGGUGAAAUGCGUAGAUAUCGGAAGGAACGCCGGUGGCGAAAGCGCUCGACUGGACCUCUGCUGACGCUGAGGCGCGAAAGCCAGGGGAGCAAACGGG